UAAUGGCUAUUUUAUUAUUCAGUUUGUUCAUUUUUGUCUCAUAUUAUUAUCAUAGCAGAGGCUCAUGGGUAACGUGGUUCUGAGGCAGCCAGGAGCAGAGGCUCAUGGGUAACAUGUCUCUGAGCCAGCCAGGAGCAGAGGCUCAUGGGUAACGUGGUCCUCUGUUUCCAGUCUUUAUGCUAAGCUAGGCUAACAGUUCUAACCUCUUUCCAGUCUUUAUGCUAAGCUAGGAUAGCUGUUUUCCUCUGUUUCCAGUCUUUAUGCUAAGCUAGGCUAACAGUUCUAACCUGUUUUGUCUUUCUGCUAACCUAGGCUAACAGUUCUAACCUGUUGUGUCUUUCUGCUAACCUAGGCUAACAGUUCCCACCUGUUGCCAGCCUUUGUGCGAAGCUCAAAGUCGGGCCAGUGGACGGCAUUUGCAGAGACUAUGCGCCUGGGAAGAGCUUCAGCUUUCAGAUCAGCGGUGACCCGGGUGCAAAAGUCAGCCUGGUGGCUGUGGACAACGCUGUGUAUCUUCUCAACAAGGACAGACUCACACAGAGGAAGAUUUGGGACGUGGUGGAGCAUGGAGACAUUGGCUGCACCCGUGGGGGAGGCCGAGAUGCUAAGGGGGUGUUUUCAGAUGCAGGACUGAUGCAGGACUGAUGCAGGACUGAUGCAGGACUGAUGCAGGACUGAUGCAGGACUGAUGCAGGACUGCUUUACUCCUCCAGUACUGGGUUCAAAACUACAACCAGACAAACCCUGCAGUGUCCAGGCAGUACCAGAAGGAGACGCUCUGCUGAACUGUUGAAGCGUAAAGCUCAGCUGGUUGCCUGCUAAUCUUGAUUUGGAAGUAGAGGCUCGAGGAAAUGGACAAGGAAUACUAGAGUACAGGGAAAGACGACCACGGGUUGUGACCUAUUACAAUCAGCUGCAUGAGGUGGAAGAGAAAAUGCCCUGCAAGCACUUUGAUCUCAACGUCACUUUUGAAGGAUCCAGCGCAGGGCUCUAGGACCCAGAGACGUCAGGAUGGUGGUUCUUGAUAUCAGUCUACCAACUGGAUUCACCCCAGAAAACUCUGACCUGGAGAUGGUAAUCACCUUCUAGUGCUAGUGCAGAAAAAUCUGAAAGCUUGUGUCAAUGGUGUAUUUAAGUGUCUUUAAAAUGAAUGUAGUAUUUUAAAUAAAAGUUUGUAAAAAGUUUACUACAUCAUGAUAAUGACCUUCUAAUGGAUGAGACAUGAAUGAUCGCAUGUUUAGGACGGCGGCGUUGCUAACUAGCUAACAGCUGACUCUGUUUAUGUGUGUGUCCAGCUGUCCAAUUCAGUGCAUCGUUACAUCAGUAACUUCCAGAUUGUAGACAACCUGAGUGACAGAGGCUCCCUGAUCAUUCACCUGUUCAAAGUAACAUCACUGUAUUUAUAAUUAUUAUUCUAUAUCAUAUCAUUUUAUGUUAUUCAUAUGCUUUUCUUUUUUUUCCAAGAAGUAGGUUUCUCAGUGCUCAGUAAAUAAGUCAUUAUGACCACAGUCAACAAUCUGAGGCAGUUUUAGGCUAUUACACAAAACCGGCUUAUUGGUACCAAAGCCACGGUUCAGAACUCAGACUUGCUAAGUCAGUGUUGGUGUCGUGCAGUGUAGGGCUGCAGCCAGAGUACUGACGAUAGUUAGCAAGAGAGAUCAUAUUUCUCCUAUGCUGGUUUCUCUUCACUGGCUUCCUGUGAAAUGUAGAAUAGAAUUCAAAAUCCUUCUUCUGACAUAUAAAGCUCUUAACAACCAAUCUCCAUCAUAUCUUAAAGACCUGAUAGUACCAUAUUAUCCUAGCAGAACUCUUCGCUCUCAGACUGCAGGCUUACUUGGAGAAGUGACCUGUAACUUCUCUCUAAAAGUAGAAUGGGAGGCAGAGCCUUCAGUUAUCAGCUCCUCUCCUGUGGAACCAGCUCCCAGUUUGGGUUCCGGAGGCGGACACCCUCUCUAAUUUUAAGACCAGGCUUAAAACCUUCCUUUUUGACAAAUCUUAUAGUUAGGACUGACUGGGGGACCCUGAGGGGGUCAGCUGGAGUCUUCCUCUUGGACGUCCCUUAGUUCUGCCCCUAGUUCUGCUGCUACAGGCCUAGGCUGCUGGAGGACCUCUCUGGAUGCACUGAGCCCUUCUCUAUCUACCAUUAUAUUUAAUAUACAGUAUAUAUACCAUUAUUGCAUUACACUCACUCUGUUUCUCCCUGUGUCCUUUCUCCGAGUGUCCCUGAUCCCAGAGCUGGAUGCUUCAGAUCUGUGGUGGUUCUCCCACCAACUGGCCUAAUCUCCAUCUGUGGGAUGCUGCUGCUGCUGACCUUCCUCCAGCCCACUGCUUCCAGCUGCCCAUUUCCAUCAAUCUACUCUGCAUCACCCUCACUAUACUUGAUUUGCUCGUCUACAUAUUUUUGAAUUUACCACCAGCUAUAUAUGUAGUAUAUUUAAUGCCAGAGCCAUACACCGUAGCAGUAAACUAUAAUCAGUUUCCA